rnacentral:hammerhead_ribozyme from 1 species
AUCCGACUGAUGAGUCCUUAAUAGAACGAAACACACGUCCUGUAU